rnacentral:rRNA from 1 species
AUGUCCUGACCCAGCGACGCCGCGUGCGGGAUGAAGGCCUUCGGGUUGUAAACCGCUUUCAUUAGGGAAGAAGCGAAAGUGACGGUACCUACAAAAGAAGCACCGGCUAACUAUGUGCCAGCAGCCGCGGUAAUACAUAGGGUGCAAGCGUUGUCCGGAAUUAUUGGGCGUAAAGAGCUCGUAGGUCGUUUGUUACGUCGGAUGUGAAAACCUGAGGCUCAACCUCAGGCCUGCAUUCGAUACGGGCAAACUAGAGUUUGGUAGGGGAGACUGGAAUUCCUGGUGUAGCGGUGGAAUGCGCAGAUAUCAGGAGGAACACCAAUGGCGAAGGCAGGUCUCUGGGCCAAUACUGACACUGAGGAGCGAAAGUCUGGGGAGCGAACAGGAUUAGAUACCCUGGUAGUCCAGACCGUAAACGGUGGGCACUAGUUGUGGGAACCUUCCACGGUUUCUGCGACGCAGCUAACGCAUUAAGUGCCCCGCCUGGGGAGUACGAUCGCAAGAUUAAAACUCAAUGAAAAUUUGACGGACU